GGACUACUGGGGUUUCUAAUCCCGUUUGCUCCCCUGGCUUUCGCGCCUCAGCGUCAGAAGAGGUCCAGCCGCGCGCUUUCGCCACCGGCGUUCCUUCCGAUAUCAACGCAUUUCACCGCUCCACCGGAAGUUCCCGCGGCCCCUACCUCCCUCGAGACCACCAGUAUCCCAGGCAAUUCUCCGGUUAAGCCGAAGGAUUUCACCCCGGACUUGGUGGCCCGCCUACGCGCCCUUUAAGCCCAGUGAAUCCGAACAACGUUCGCACGGUUCGUCUUACCGCGGCUGCUGGCAC
rnacentral:rRNA from 1 species